rnacentral:rRNA from 1 species
CCUACGGGCGGCAGCAGUGGGGAAUAUUGCACAAUGGGGGAAACCCUGAUGCAGCGACGCCGCGUGAGUGAAGAAGUAAUUCGUUACGUAAAGCUCUAUCAGCAGGGAAGAAAAUGACGGUACCUGAGUAAGAAGCCCCGGCUAACUACGUGCCAGCAGCCGCGGGAAUACGUAGGGGGCAAGCGUUAUCCGGAUUUACUGGUGGGAAAGGGAGCGGAGACGGUGCGCCAAGUCUGGAGUGAAAUGCAGCAGCUUAACUGCGGAACUGCUUUGGAGACUGGCGAUGUAGAGUACUGGAGGGGCAGACGGAAGUCCGAGUGUAGCGGUGAAAUGCGUAGAUAUUAGGAGGAACACCAGUGGCGAAGGCGGUCUGCUGGACAGCAACUGACGUUGAGGCGCGAAAGCGUGGGGAGCAAACAGGAUUAGAUACCCGGGUAGGC